rnacentral:rRNA from 1 species
GACGAACGCUGGCGGCGCGCCUAACACAUGCAAGUCGAACGAGAGAUGAGGAGCUUGCUCUUCAAAUCGAGUGGCGAACGGGUGAGUAACGCGUGAGGAACCUGCCUCAAAGAGGGGGACAACAGUUGGAAACGACUGCUAAUACCGCAUAAGCCCACGGCUCGGCAUCGAGCAGAGGGAAAAGGAGCAAUCCGCUUUGAGAUGGCCUCGCGUCCGAUUAGCUAGUUGGUGAGGUAACGGCCCACCAAGGCGACGAUCGGUAGCCGGACUGAGAGGUUGAACGGCCACAUUGGGACUGAGACACGGCCCAGACUCCUACGGGAGGCAGCAGUGGGGAAUAUUGCACAAUGGGGGAAACCCUGAUGCAGCGACGCCGCGUGGAGGAAGAAGGUCUUCGGAUUGUAAACUCCUGUUGUUGAGGAAGAUAAUGACGGUACCCAACAAGGAAGUGACGGCUAACUACGUGCCAGCAGCCGCGGUAAAACGUAGGUCACAAGCGUUGUCCGGAAUUACUGGGUGUAAAGGGAGCGCAGGCGGGAGAACAAGUUGGAAGUGAAAUCCAUGGGCUCAACCCAUGAACUGCUUUCAAAACUGUUUUUCUUGAGUAGUGCAGAGGUAGGCGGAAUUCCCGGUGUAGCGGUGGAAUGCGUAGAUAUCGGGAGGAACACCAGUGGCGAAGGCGGCCUACUGGGCACCAACUGACGCUGAGGCUCGAAAGUGUGGGUAGCAAACAGGAUUAGAUACCCUGGUAGUCCACACCGUAAACGAUGAUUACUAGGUGUUGGAGGAUUGACCCCUUCAGUGCCGCAGUUAACACAAUAAGUAAUCCACCUGGGGAGUACGACCGCAAGGUUGAAACUCAAAGGAAUUGACGGGGGCCCGCACAAGCAGUGGAGUAUGUGGUUUAAUUCGACGCAACGCGAAGAACCUUACCAAGUCUUGACAUCCCUUGACGAUGCUGGAAACAGUAUUUCUCUUCGGAGCAAGGAGACAGGUGGUGCAUGGUUGUCGUCAGCUCGUGUCGUGAGAUGUUGGGUUAAGUCCCGCAACGAGCGCAACCCUUAUGGUCAGUUACUACGCAAGAGGACUCUGGCCAGACUGCCGUUGACAAAACGGAGGAAGGUGGGGAUGACGUCAAAUCAUCAUGCCCUUUAUGACUUGGGCUACACACGUACUACAAUGGCGUUAAACAAAGAGAAGCAAGACCGCGAGGUGGAGCAAAACUCAGAAACAACGUCCCAGUUCGGACUGCAGGCUGCAACUCGCCUGCACGAAGUCGGAAUUGCUAGUAAUCGUGGAUCAGCAUGCCACGGUGAAUACGUUCCCGGGCUU